AUUGAACGCUGGCGGCAGGCCUAACACAUGCAAGUCGAACGGAGUGGCGGACGGGUGAGUAAUGUCUGGGAAUCUGCCUGGUAGUGGGGGAUAACGUACGGAAACGGGCGCUAAUACCGCAUACUAUCAGAUGAGCCUAGGUUGGUGUAGCUAGUUGGUGGGGUAAAGGCCUACCAAGGCGACGAUCCGAAACUGGUCUGCGAGGAUGAUCAGUAACACUGGAACUGAGACCCGGUCCAGACUCCUACGGGAGGCAGCAGGGGGGAAUAUUGGACAAUGGGCGAAAGCCUGAUCCAGCCAUGCCGCGUGUGUGAAGAAGGUCUUCGGAUUGUAAAGCACUUUAAGUUGGGAGGCGUUACCAACAGAAUAAGCACCGGCUAACUUCGUGCCAGCAGCCGCGGUAAUAC
rnacentral:rRNA from 1 species